ACGGGAGGCAGCAGUAGGGAAUCUUCCGCAAUGGACGAAAGUCUGACGGAGCAACGCCGCGUGAACGAAGAAGGCCUUCGGGUCGUAAAGUUCUGUUGUUAGGGAAGAACAAGUACCAGAGUAACUGCUGGUACCUUGACGGUACCUAACCAGAAAGCCACGGCUAACUACGUGCCAGCAGCCGCGGUAAUACGUAGGUGGCAAGCGUUGUCCGGAAUUAUUGGGCGUAAAGCGCGCGCAGGUGGUUCUUUAAGUCUGAUGUGAAAGCCCACGGCUCAACCGUGGAGGGUCAUUGGAAACUGGGGAACUUGAGUGCAGAAGAGGAAAGUGGAAUUCCAAGUGUAGCGGUGAAAUGCGUAGAGAUUUGGAGGAACACCAGUGGCGAAGGCGACUUUCUGGUCUGUAACUGACACUGAGGCGCGAAAGCGUGGGGAGCAAACAGGAUUAGAUACCCUGGUA
rnacentral:rRNA from 1 species